GUCGUUCGUGGCGGUACGGUUACCGCUGGCGGCAUUCGCCGUUGCGAGCGGCGUCAUGGUCGCGCUCGCCGUCCUGCCCGGUGCGGACGGCG
rnacentral:tRNA from 1 species